CGCUCGCAGUCGAAGUCCAUGGUUCGCAGGGGCGGAGUCAGGUGGCCUCGCGGCUCCGGGGGUGGCUCCGCGCUGCAGCUGGACGGUGGCCGCCGAGGACCACACUUCCCCGACCUCCCCGGCCGCGCUCCCUCCCGACCCGGCUGGUCGCCCAGUCCAGCGGCACAGCUACGCCCAGAGCCCCCAGGAGCUGCUGGAGGGAAACUUGGGCCAUCUGUAAAGACGAGAGGGGUCGAGCAGAAACUGUGAAGAGGGUAGAAGAAGCUCACACAGUUCUGGAAGAGUUUCUAGAAAGAUGUGGGUGGAGGGGGUAGCAUAAUGUUUCUGCAAAGAGACUCAUUCCUGAGGCUCCGAAGUCUCAGGUUCAGUCCCCCGCAUCUCCAUUAGCCAGAGCUCGUAAAAAGAAAAGGGGGGGGGGGGGAAGAGGAAAGGAAAGGAAAGAUGUCUUAAUUUCAGCAGAGUAUCGCAAGAGGCCAAGACAGCAAAGUGGGGUUACCUUUAGGGAGGAAGGGAAAAUGGCUGUAUGCGGAUAUUGCAUAUUGAGAGUAUGUAGUGUGGGACAAGGGUAAAAACCAUGAGAGGAUAAAGAGUACCUGUGGUUUCUUGAAGACCAGGAAAAGAGUCAAUGGAGAAUAACUGAUUAAAGGGAGUUGCGGACCUUUGGUGCCAAGGACUGGAUCUGACAUGCAAGACCUGUACCAACUGAAGGUUUCAUGAGCAUAAUCCUUUGCCAAGAUCUUGGUGAACAAACAAUCUUUCACUGUGCAACUGUGUCUUAAGAUUGUUUUUAUCAUGAUUGUGAUUGGCUGGAUGCUUUUUGUUGGACUCGCAUGUUACAUGGGCACAUUUCCAGAGUUUAUGCCUCCAACUCUGAAAUGGAGAGAGAGGUGGUCUAUUAAAGAGCGCAAGGCACGACUGAAGAGCCGGGCUUUGGAUGAAGAUCUGCAACUGUGAGUGGGUAGUCAGGAACAAUGUGGAAGGGAUUUAAGUAUCCCCCAGGAGGGACUCCAGUGGAAAUAAGUAAAGAUGAUCCUGGUGAAGUUAUGCAGCUCUGAAGCUCAAUGGACCAGCUGUACAGUUCCUGUUGUUGGUUUUGCAUAAAGUAAUUGCACAUUA